rnacentral:piRNA from 1 species
GAUUAAAUGAUGAAGGGCCAUUUCUGA